CCUGAGGCCUUCUAAGGAUAAGUCUCUGUGACUCCGUGGAGGUGGGAGCUACACUGACACUCCAUUUGGCUGGAAGUUUUCUCCAGUUAUACACAGAAUGAAUUAUAUACAGAAAACAGGAUGUUGUGGAAUGCAAGGGAUAAAAGAAGAAUGAAUGCAUAUGGGAAAGGCCUCCCACCUUUCCUUUUGGGUGUAUGGCUCCUUGCCUUCUCUUCCUGCAUGACUUCUUCAACCAGGCAGGACACAGCAGUUUGCA